GACGAACGCUGGCGGCGUGCCUAACACAUGCAAGUCGAGCGGAGAUGAUGUGAGGAAGUUUUCGGAUGGAAUCACAUUAUUUUAGCGGCGGACGGGUGAGUAACGCGUGAGCGACCAACCUUGCACAGGGGGAUAACGGACCGAAAGGUUCACUAAUACCGCAUGAGACCACGGUGUUGCAUGACACAGGGGUCAAAGGAGGAAUCCGGUGCAAGACGGGCUCGCGUCUGAUUAGGUAGUUGGGGGGGUAACGGCCCACCAAGCCUAUGAUCGGUAGCCGACCUGAGAGGGUGAUCGGCCACAUUGGAACGGAGAUACGGUCCAAACUCCUACGGGAGGCAGCAGUGGGGAAUAUUGGGCAAUGGGGGAAACCCUGACCCAGCAACGCCGCGUGAAGGAAGAAGGUUUUCGGAGUGUAAACUUCUGUCCUUGGUGAAGAGAAGAAGACGGUAGCCAAGGAGGAAGCCCCGGCUAACUACGUGCCAGCCGCCGCAGUAACAC
rnacentral:rRNA from 1 species